GUCACGUGGUCACGGUGUCAGCGCGGACUGUUGCUCUGAGCAACGGGCUGAAAAUAAUAAUGGCAUCAUGUUGGUGUAUCAGUUAUUUAAUGUAAAUGCUUUUCUUUUCACUUUUAAUGAGUUUUCCGCACAUUGUAAGAUUCCUGUAACACCAGGGGACUAUGCAAAAGUUUUUGGUGCAAAAUCUCCUAAAGUCUAUAUGCUGUUUAGACAUAAGAAUAGAAUUAACAUUCAACAACGGUCCCCAGCUACUAUAAUAAGUUCUUAUGUAGGUAAUAUUUGUUUUCCCCUUAACUCACAACACAGAUCCAUCCAUAAGAGCGUUAUUUGAAAGAAACGCCGUGUCUUUGAUUUAUAUUUACUCAGAUCGGAAUCGUUAGACAGACAAUAUUGUUUGGGUAAAGGUUUGGCUUAUAUCUAAUCAAUAUUUAAUUACAAACAAAGUCAAAACGUUAUCGUUUAAAAAUAUACCUAGGAUUUACCCAGUGAAACAUUACUUUGUAAAAUUUAAAGCUGAUAUUGAUUUGAAUUGCACUUGUGUAACGGAGUGUAAAUAGAUUAAAUUAUUGUACAAAUGGGAACAGCGCCAUCUAUGUGGCGAGUGAUGGCAUUUAGCGAGUGGAGUUGUGCACUGUGCAGCAUACUCUCCCAGAAGCGCCAGGAUUUAGGCAUGCUAGCAUUUGAUUGGCUGAAAGGGAGGGGGCGGGGCUAUCUGAAGACUCACCUCACGUGCAAAUCUCGAGCUUCUAGUGUAGAGUACAGACACGAAGGAGACAGUCAGUGUGAGUGAGGAUGAUCCUGAAGAAGUCAGUGUAGCAGUGUCAUGGACAUGGGGAGUAAGCCAUACCAGCCUGAUCCAAACUUCAUCGAAGUACAGCAACUUCCAAACGAGAUUUCGCGCUUUCAGGAGAACUGGUACAGUCAGUAUUCAUGGCUUCACUGCAGUCCAACACUGAAAAAGGUUCUUUGUUUUGAGUGUGUCAAAGCAUACACCAUAAAAAGACCACUUUGGAAAAAAAGAAUGACCCUGCCUUCUGCACAAAGGGUUUCAAUAAUUGGCUAAGAUCUACGAUGUCUCAGUGAAAUGUACAUGUUCACCACUAGGUGGGGAUGUUUUCCUUCACAUUGAAUUUGAAUUGUUCUGUAAUUCACUGAAAAUGUCUGUUGUAAUUGUCAUUCUGCAAAAUUGUGGGAUUUAUGGGAUUUAUUUAUUCCUUCUGAUGACUAAUUUAUGUUGUCAUGGAAACAUUUAUUAUUUGGUCUUAUGGAGAACUGUAAAGACAAGCGCAGUCAGGUUUAUAUAAUACAUUUUAUUCUUUUAAUAGCAAAAUUCCAUAUUCACAAAUAUAAGUUUUCCUGUUAAAAAAACAAAAACAAACAAACAAAAAA